GCCGGCAGCUAGCUCUCUGAAACUCUCACAUAGUCGCUCACUGAAGCUAAGCAGGGCUGAGUCUGGUCAGUAGCUGGAUAGGAGACCACAUGGAAAAGCUAUAGGUUGCUGCCGGAU
rnacentral:rRNA from 1 species